AUUGAACGCUGGCGGCAGGCCUAACACAUGCAAGUCGAGCGAGCGGCGGACGGGUGAGUAAUGUCUGGGAAACUGCCUGAUGGAGGGGGAUAACUACUGGAAACGGUAGCUAAUACCGCAUACCAUCAGAUGUGCCCAGAUGGGAUUAGCUAGUAGGUGGGGUAAUGGCUCACCUAGGCGACGAUCCCUAGCUGGUCUGAGAGGAUGACCAGCCAAAUGGGAACGGAGACAGGGUCCAGACCCCUACGGGAGGCAGCAGUGGGGAAUAUUGCACAAUGGGCUAAAGCCUGAUGCAGCCAUGCCGCGUGUAUGAAGAAGGCCUUCGGGUUUUAAAGUACUUCCAGCGAGGAGGCGUUACUCGCAGAAGAAGCACCGGCUAACUCCGGGCCAGCAGCCGCGGUAAUUC
rnacentral:rRNA from 1 species